rnacentral:tRNA from 1 species
GCGAGAGUGGCGAAACUGGUAGACGCGCAGGUCUUAGAAGCCUGUGGGGUAACCCGUGAGAGUUCGAGUCUCUCCUUUCGCACCA